GUGGCGCGUCUUUCCCAGGGAAACGUCUUUUUGUCAACAUUUUAUUGUCUCCUGCUGUGCAUAGUUUGACCAUCAGAUGGCGUUAGGGUGAAGCAGCAGCCAGUCAGACAGACAUGAGAAGAAGCCAGAGAAGUGAGCGAGUCCUCUGCAGCCUCCGUCCGUCAUUGUUUCCAAUGCUGGAGGAGGAGGAGGACUCUGUAAUGUUCUGCACUGUGGAGGUCAAGUCCAUGUCACUGCAGACAGUUCAGAGGUGAGACAACAUUUUUAUGGCCAUCCAUCAAAGUUGCAGACCACACACCCCAGGAAAUCAUGUUCCCCUAAACAAGACAACUUCUGCAGAAAAAGGGACCUUCUCUGGCAUAAACAAUCUCAGGACCAGUAGUACUCAUGGAGACCAAAACCUAGUCCUGAUAAGGUGGAACUUAAUUUUUGAGGACCUGGUUAAGAUCAGGGCCAAGAUUCGAAUUGUGGUUAAGGUAAGGGAUAACCCUUUGUUUAGGUUGUCAAAAUGAAUGGAAAUCAAUGCAGUGUCCGAAGAAGAAUAGCUGCGCAAACCUGCGUAUAUGUGUGUGUUUAUGUGUGGCGGAGAUGCUGGAGGCCAAAGCGGACCUAAACAGCAAAAUAAAUAAUAGAGCCUGAGAAACAAAUCAUGAUCACUGGCCAUCAGCUUAGUCUGA